CUUGAGACCGGCGCACGGGUGCGGAACGCGUAUGGAACCUGCCCCUGUCAGGGGAAUAGCCCAGGGAAACUUGGAUUAAUGCCCCAUGGUAUCCACAUAUCGCAUGAUAAGUGGAUUAAAGAUUUAUCGGACAGGGAUGGCCAUGCGUACCAUUAGCUUGAUGGUGGGGUAACGGCCCACCAUGGCAACGAUGGUUAGGGGCCCUGAGAGGGGGAUCCCCCACACUGGUACUGAGACACGGACCAGACUCCUACGGGAGGCAGCAGUGAGGAAUAUUGGACAAUGGUCGGAAGACUGAUCCAGCCAUGCCGCGUGCAGGAUGACGGCCCUAUGGGUUGUAAACUGCUUUUAUACGGGAAGAAACCCACCUACGUGUAGGUGGCUGACGGUACCGUAAGAAUAAGGACCGGCUAACUCCGUGCCAGCAGCCGCGGUAAUACGGAGGGUCCGAGCGUUAUCCGGAAUCAUUGGGUUUAAAGGGUCCGUAGGCGGGCCUGUAAGUCAGGGGUGAAAGUCUGUGGCUCAACCAUAGAAUUGCCUUUGAUACUGCAGGUCUUGAGUCAUGGUGGGGUUGCCGGAACAUGUGGUGUAGCGGUGAAAUGCAUAGAUAUCACAUAGAACACCGAUCGCGAAGGCAGGUGACCAACCAUGUACUGACGC
rnacentral:rRNA from 1 species